GCUUGUUUUGGCAGCAUAUACUGUAACUGGAACAAUACAGAGAAGAUGAGCAUGGUCCCUGCACAAGGAUGACACAAAUUCAUGAAGCACACCAUAUUUUU
rnacentral:snRNA from 1 species